GCGAGUGAAGCGGCAAAAGCUCAAAUUUGAAAUCUGGCACUUUCAGUGUCCGAGUUGUAAUUUGAAGAAGGUAACUCUGGAGUUGGCCCUUGUCUAUGUUCCUUGGAACAGGACGUCACAGAGGGUGAGAAUCCCGUGCGAUGGGGUGUCCAAUUCUAUGUAGAGUGCUUUCGAAGAGUCGAGUUGUUUGGGAAUGCAGCUCUAAGUGGGUGGUAAAUUCCAUCUAAAGCUAAAUAUUGGCGAGAGACCGAUAGCGAACAAGUACAGUGAUGGAAAGAUGAAAAGAACUUUGAAAAGAGAGUGAAAAAGUACGUGAAAUUGUUGAAAGGGAAGGGCUUGAGAUCAGACUCGGUAUUUUGCGAUCCUAUCCUUCGUGGAGAGGUUUCAUUUGCAGCUUACCGGGCCAGCAUCGGUUUGAAUGGUAGGAUAAUGACAUUGGAAUGUGGCUUUUCGGAGUGUUAUAGCCUUUGUUGAUACUACCUAUUUAGACCGAGGACUGCGUCUUUGACUAGGAUGCUGGCAUAAUGAUCUUAAGCCGCCC
rnacentral:rRNA from 2 species